rnacentral:lncRNA from 1 species
CUUCUUUUGUCAAACUUCACAGAAAGAUGUGGCUUAAACUGAAGCUAAUUUUCAUAUGCAGACAUCCAAUGAAAAUGAACUGCAGCCACAAGGCUUUUCACAAGUGAAAGGUGACAUAAAACAUAUAAAUCUGCAGAAUGGGCCCAGAGAAUCCCAAAGCCUUCUUUGAUGCUAGAAAUGGUAGUGAGAGAAGAGCAGAGCAGAAACCAGUCUCUUGAUCAAGGUUAAAAGUGGGAAAAUAUAAUCUGUCCAAGAGGUCAAGAGAAGCAUCUUCAAGGUGAGUUUUGUGUGCACUUAU